rnacentral:rRNA from 1 species
GACGAACGCUGGCGGCGUGCCUAAUACAUGCAAGUUGAGCGCUGAAGGUUGGUACUUGUACCAACUGGAUGAGCAGCGAACGGGUGAGUAACGCGUGGGGAAUCUGCCUUUGAGCGGGGGACAACAUUUGGAAACGAAUGCUAAUACCGCAUAAAAACUUUAAACACAAGUUUUAAGUUUGAAAGAUGCAAUUGCAUCACUCAAAGAUGAUCCCGCGCUGUAUUAGCUAGUUGGUGAGGUAAAGGCUCACCAAGGCGAUGGUACAUAGCCGACCUGAGAGGGUGAUCGGCCACAUUGGGACUGAGACACGGCCCAAACUCCUACGGGAGGCAGCAGUAGGGAAUCUUCGGCAAUGGACGAAAGUCUGACCGAGCAACGCCGCGUGAGUGAAGAAGGUUUUCGGAUCGUAAAACUCUGUUGGUAGAGAAGAACGUUGGUGAGAGUGGAAAGCUCAUCAAGUGACGGUAACUACCCAGAAAGGGACGGCUAACUACGUG